AUUACUAAUCUGCGACGCAAAUGACUCUUUAAGUCACCUGCGUCGCAGAUUAGUAAUUCUGCGACGCAGAGGAGGUAAAAAAAAUUCGGAAGUUUUUAAUUAUUCCUUCUCCCCUCUUUUUCUCUCUCUUCUUCUUUCCAGAACUCCAUUCAUGAGAUGUCAAUACCUCUCAAUCUUUCAUUCAUUUGAAAUCUCCUCUAACCACUAUACGUAUUUUGCCUUUAAUUUACCCGGAAAAAUCAAGAUUUGCGAAAACACGGCUCGAAGAGAAAAAUCCUAGAUUCCGCCGCGAAGAAGGAGACAUUUCAAAGCAGUGCAGCUCGAUUGCUAGCGAGUCUCCGAUCCAAUUCUGCGAAUUAGUUCGUCGGCGAUUUAGGGUUUUUAAGGUUGGGUGAAACGCCAAACCGUUGGAGCUGGAUCUUCGGUUAACGUCGCCGCCGUCAUUGAUUACCUUAUUUCUUAGAUGGUGCCUGAUAUUGUAGAGGGUGAUGGGUUUGUUGGGAGGCAGCCUCAUAUCAAGUAUGAGCUCAGAGAUAGUCCUGGUCUUGGAGGAUACAACCAAUGUGUAUUCUUCAACUGCAGUUAUAGUAGUUCGGAUACUCCACUGAGUGAGGGUCAGUGCCAUUGGUUUUCUCCCAAGGGUUCUACUUUGCUUAAAGCGGGCUCUAAAAAUCGCAAAUGCCGCUCAACAGAUGGCUAAUGCUACUCGGGGUAGUGGUGGUUUAGUUAUGCUGUUCAUUGAAAUCAUCAAUAAGAUCUUUUACCUGUUUGCUGUUGCUUUUCUGCUGAUCUACCAGUCACUUUUCCAUCUAUUUCACCACCUUAGCUGCAAUUUUCUUCGAUGGAGGUUGUAGGAGUUGAAAUUCUCUCUCUGACAGAACUAUUAGCCAUUUCUUGGACUGGAUUUGGCUGUUGAUGAAAUGACUCUGCAUCAUAUUUGCAUUAAGUGCUUCUUGUACUAACUUUAUGGCUGCAGUCUGUUGCAGUCCAAGUUUCUCUGUCUUUGCAACUUGGUCAUCAACUUCCUAAAGAUUGUUGCUGUUUUUA